rnacentral:rRNA from 1 species
GACGAACGCUGGCGGCGUGCUUAACACAUGCAAGUCGAACGGAAAGGCCCUGCUUUUGUGGGGUGCUCGAGUGGCGAACGGGUGAGUAACACGUGAGUAACCUGCCCUUGACUUUGGGAUAACUUCAGGAAACUGGGGCUAAUACCGGAUAGGAGCUCCUGCUGCAUGGUGGGGGUUGGAAAGUUUCGGCGGUUGGGGAUGGACUCGCGGCUUAUCAGCUUGUUGGUGGGGUAGCGGCUUACCAAGGCUUUGACGGGUAGCCGGCCUGAGAGGGUGACCGGCCACAUUGGGACUGAGAUACGGCCCAGACUCCUACGGGAGGCAGCAGUGGGGAAUAUUGCAAAAUGGGCGGAAGCCUGAUGCAGCAACGCCGCGUGCGGGAUGACGGCCUUCGGGUUGUAAACCGCUUUCGCCUGUGACGAAGCGUGAGUGACGGUAAUGGGUAAAGAAGCACCGGCUAACUACGUG